GACGAACGCUGGCGGCGUGCUUAACACAUGCAAGUCGAGCGGUAAGGCCCUUCGGGGUACACGAGCGGCGAACGGGUGAGUAACACGUGGGUGACCUGCCUCUAGCUCUGGGAUAAGCCUGGGAAACUGGGUCUAAUACCGGAUAUGACUCCAUGGCGCAUGUUGUGGGGUGGAAAGCCUUGUGUGGCUAGAGAUGGGCCCGCGGCCUAUCAGCUUGUUGGUGGGGNGAUGGCCUACCAAGGCGACGACGGGUAGCCGGCCUGAGAGGGCGACCGGCCACACUGGGACUGAGACACGGCCCAGACUCCUACGGGAGGGCAGCAGUGGGGAAUCUUGCGCAAUGGGCGAAAGCCUGACGCAGCGACGCCGCGUGAGGGAUGACGGCCUGGUGUAAC
rnacentral:rRNA from 1 species